CUGUGCACAGUGGUGAAAGCAUGGGGCGGAGGCAGCAAGCAGAGGAAGAGAAUAUGGGAAGGAGCCAAGGAGCAAAAAUUGCUAGGCAACAUGGCCAGGACCUCUGUGCACAGCUUUGGUGGCUGUCUCUGUCUGCUUCUCCACUAGUGAAAGUCAAGCCUAAAGAUCGCAGCCUGGUUGGAGGAGGCUGUGGUGACUGUAUGUUGCCUGGUAGGGAAUGCUUCUGAGAUCCUGCCAGCUUUACUCAGCGCUUACAGAUUUCCUGAGCAGGCAUCUUAAAUGGAGAUCCCCUAAUACAUAUUGGGGGACAGCAUUCCUCAAGCUGCCUCUCCAUGCCACUGCUGACAGUCCCACAUCACUGGCAUCUACGAUAUUCAGGAGGCUCCACCUGCAAGGCUCCACCCAUAUGAACACCAAGCUACACCAUGAAGACUUCGCUCAGAUCCGUACAGGAUUCAUGUUGGUGGUCACUUCAGUCUCUGUGAGCCCCGGAUCUGCGUCGUUGCGUAGUUGCCUCGCCACGUUAAAUGCCCUCGUGCACUCACUCGCCUGGAGGAUAUGAAGUUUCAAGAAGGCGUUUAUGACUCAAAUCUGUCACUGAGAGAAGCAAUCUGCAAACAACACCCCUGAGUGUCGCUCUGUCCCGCUCCCCGGGCAUUCUGUCUCUACCUCUUAUAAUCGACUAUGACAAUGCUCUCAGUGCUCUCACUCUUAGAUGUCGCAGGAGGCUCAGUUUCCUUUUUCAUUUCAGGGCCAUACUGUAAAGCCAUUUAGCCCACAUUCUAAUGGUGUUUUCCCAGAUUCUGCGUUUUCAUUACCCAUCCUGAAUAGGAUAUACUCCCAGAAUGCACUGAGGCAUGCAUAAUACCCACUGAGGAGGAAGCAAUCGGGUCUCAGAAUAUAAAAUGGGAUCAGCACAUUUAUCCCUCAACUUUU